AAGAGUCAGAACUUCAAGCUAAACAUCUUUCAUCUUCUUGACCAACAGAAACAACCUGGAACAAUCCACCAUUGAUCAUGGAGCCACGGCAAUGCCCUACAGAAUGGUGAAGAAGUGAUUUGAAGGAAACCUGGGUCACUGGAACAAAGCCUCCCACCAGCCUAAAGUACUCAUCUUGAACUAUUUCGUGAAUUUUUUUAAAGCCACUACAGCCUUCAGCAACCACCAUCCUGAUGUCAGCAAACAACAAUAUUGAGGUGAAUACCCCUACCAGCAAAAAAUUAUCACUCACUGAAGCCUCUGAUGAUCAUUAGCAUUUUUAGCAAUAAGGCCAAAGGAGUCUCUUCCCAUAGCCACUGCAGCUGGAAGUGUGGUGGAUCACCCUUGAAGCUAACACGGUACUAAGUCUCUCCCAAGUACUACAGCAGAGCCCAGAAAACACAUGCUUUUGAAGAGAGGAGGAAGAGAAAUGAUCAGACUUAUGGUGUGUUGCUGCCACAGAGCAUAAAACUGGGGGAGCCCUAGGAACCACAGAAGAGGGAAGGAGAAAGAAAGGAAUGUUGGCAAGACUCUACCAGCU